GACGAACGCUGGCGGCGUGCUUAACACAUGCAAGUCGAACGGAAAGGCCCUGCUUUUGUGGGGUGCUCGAGUGGCGAACGGGUGAGUAACAAGUGAGUAACCUGCCCUUGACUUUGGGAUAACUUCAGGAAACUGGGGCUAAUACCGGUAGGAGCUCCAGCCGGAUUGGGGGGGGUGGAAAGUUUCGGCGGUUGGGGAUGGACUCGCGGCUUAUCAGUUUGGUUGUUGGGUAGGGGCUUUCCAAGGCUUUGACGGGUAACCGGCCUGGGAGGGUGACCUGCCACAUUGGGACUGAGAUACGGCCCAGACUCCUACGGGAGGCAGCAGUGGGGAAUAUUGCACAAUGGGCGGAAGCCUGAUGCAGCAACGCCGCGUGCGGGAUGACGGCCUUCGGGUUGUAAACCGCUUUCGCCUGUGACGAAGCGUGAGUGACGGUAAUGGGUAUAGAAGCACCGGCUAACUACGUG
rnacentral:rRNA from 1 species